rnacentral:rRNA from 1 species
ACGCGAAGAACCUUACCNCAGGCUUGACAUGUAUUUGCAAGCCCAUGAAAGUGGGUCCUCUCGCAAGAGACGAUUACACAGGUGCUGCAUGGCUGUCGUCAGCUCGUGCUGUGAAGUGUUGGGUUAAGUCCCGCAACGAGCGCAACCUUUAUUCUUAGUUGCCAUCACGUCAUGGUGGGCACUCUAGGAAGACUGCCGGUGAUAAACUGGAGGAAGGAGGAGAUGACGUCAAGUCAGUAUGGCCCUUAUGCCUGGGGCUACACACGUGCUACAAUGGCCGCUACAAAGGGCAGCUAACCCGCGAGGGGGCGCUAAUCCCAAAAAAACGGCCUCAGUUCAGAUUGAAGGCUGCAAUUCGCCUUCAUGAAGUCGGAAUCGCUAGUAACGGUAGAUCAGCUACGCUACCGUGAAUACGUUCCCGGGUCUUGUACACACCG